UACGUAGGGUGCGAGCGUUAUCCGGAUUUAUUGGGCUUAAAGGGUGCGUAGGCGGUUUUGCAAGUCAGUGGUGAAAGCCCGGAGCUCAACUCCGGAACUGCCAUUGAUACUGCUUAACUUGAAUCAACUUGAGGUGGAUGGAAUAUUACAUGUAGCGGUGAAAUGCUUAGAUAUGUAAUAGAACACCGAUUGCGAAGGCAGUUCACUAAGGUUGUAUUGACACUGAGGCACGAAAGCGUGGGGAUCAAACAGG
rnacentral:rRNA from 1 species